rnacentral:rRNA from 1 species
CCUACGGGCGGCAGCAGUGGGGAAUAUUGCACAAUGGGGGGAACCCUGAUGCAGCGACGCCGCGUGAGUGAAGAAGUAUUUCGGUAUGUAAAGCUCUGUCAGCAGGGAAGAAGAAAGACGGUACCUGACCAAGAAGCCCCUGCUAACUACGUGACAGCAGCCGCGGUAAUACGUAGGGGGCAAGCGUUAUCCGGAUUUACUGGGAGGAAAGGGAGCGUAGACGGCAGGGCAAUUCGGGAGUGAAAGGCAGGGGCCCAACCCCUGGACUGCUCUUGAAACUGUCCGGCUUGAGUGCAGGAGAGGUAAGUGGAAUGCGCAGUGUAGCGGUGAAAUGCGUAGAUAUUAGGAGGAACACCAGUGGCGAAGGCGGCUUACUGGA